AUGUCUGGUUCGAUCAAAAACACAGGGGCGACCAAACAUCCUCCACCAAACCCUAGUUCAUGCAAAAUGUCCAAAUUGAAGGUUCAAAUCAAUCCCAAAUCAAAAUCCAAGCACGAAUUAGUGAUCUCCACUGAAAAAGGAGUCACAAGUUUGACUCUUGACAAGCUAGAUGGAGGCUUGGGAAUGAAGCGGGUCAAACGGAGCAAGUACGAAAAGGAAAGCGUAAUUUGGAUGCGAGGUAAGUAAAAAGCUUACACUCUUUUUUUAGACAUGUAUUUAUUCAUAAAUCGUAAAUACGAUAAAAUGCUAUAUCUUAAAUAUGUUUCCGACACGAAAUAAUACGGGACAUAUAAAAUGAUGAAAACCUUGGUUAAAAAAAAGGAUCUAAUGGUAAAAUCCGAAUGGGUCGGAUGGGCGAAUUGGUAGUUAAAGCCAUCUUUUGUUAUGUAUGUAAACGUUUGGUCAUAUGGGCCAAACGAGACAAAUGUGAUGAAAACACCAUUUGGCAAUAUUGACUAACAUUUGGUUGCCAAGUUAUAUGUUCUCAGGAUUGAACAAAAAAAAAUUUGAAUAAUUGCGUUGCUUGGAUUAGCGGCUAAUAAAGGCAAGGUAUAAAAAUGAAACGGGUCUAUAUGUUGACCGGGCCAGGUACGCAUUAUUAUGUUGUAGCUAAAAGUACUAUUUUGGUCAAAUGAUUGCGAGAGUCUUUCGUCGUAAAAUAAGCGACUAGAAUUGACCGAAAAACCCUUAAUGGGUAAAACGAGCAAACGACCCCUAGAGGCCGUUUAGAAACAAGCAUUGUAAUUAUGUAACCCUUAGAUACAUGUAAGAGUUGUAGGCAUAAACUUCGUAGUUCAAAUGCCUAAAAAUGGUCAUUUGCGUAAAAUGACUAGUUGAAGGGUAGAAUUGAGGAAAAGGGGUUCGUUAUGUUAAAUCCACCACAAAAUAGUUGUGGUGGAUUAUAUAUAGUUAUUUAGAUAUGGAAUUUUGUAGUGUCAAAAAGAAAAGAGCAAGUUUUAGACUAAAUUGCUUAAAUUCCCUAAACGAGUCAAAACAGUUUAUGCACAUAGCUUGCGUACUAGUCGCGCAAAUUAUAGCAAUUACGAACCCGAGCUAAAUAUUUUGUGUUAAAUACAUUAGAACACGCAUUUUGAUUAGUUAGAAACAAGUUGGUGGUUUUACAUACAAACGGGUCAAAAUGUUGAUUUUGAAUAAUAAUCCGAAUGCUUAGAAAUUUGGAAUUUUUUUUAGUUUGAAUGCUGAAAUUUAACUCCAUGAAAUGGAGAAUUAAAUUACGGUCGCGUAGGAAAAAGAAUCACGCGAAUCGGAUAAGUAGAACAAAAGUUAUGACAUUUUAAAGUUGAAUUUCGAUUAAACUUAUAGCUGGGCAAAUGCAGGUUUCAGCAACAAACCCGCUGGAAAUUGGUUUCCCCCGCACUACGCGACGGGUCAAUGUGUGGGGCGCGACACGCGACAGACGUCGCGCCACGUGACAAGUUUGUCAGAGUCUCUCGCGACACGCGAGAGACAUAAAAGCUGGAAAAAAUAUUUUUAAUUAUCGUUUGACGCGUAGAACUUGUUUAAACUUAUAUUUAAGUUAUCAAAACUAACUUUUAUGUUGGUUUUGAUCAUAGGUGAAUAUCAAGAGUACUCGGAUGAAGAUCAAGCGACGAAAAGGAACCGAACACGUGAAAAAGAAGCUUCCGCAAGUCGCGUCGUCGUAGCUUUUAAACGACGAAUUCAAUUACGCUAUGUUGUUCUAAACUGUAAAUUGUAAAAGUUUUAAUAAACCCCAAUUGUGUAAUAUAUAUGUGAUCAUAAUCACAUGUUUAUUUUCGUAAAUUAUACGAAAACCAUUAAAUAAUAUUAAGGGUGUUACAGUAUA